ACGGGUGAGUAACGCGUAGGUAACCUGCCUGGUAGCGGGGGAUAACUAUUGGAAACGAUAGCUAAUACCGCAUAAUAUUAAUUAUUGCAUGAUAAUUGAUUAAAAGGUGCAAUUGCACCACUACCAGAUGGACCUGCGUUGUAUUAGCUAGUAGGUGAGGUAACGGCUCACCUAGGCGACGAUACAUAGCCGACCUGAGAGGGUGAUCGGCCACACUGGGACUGAGACACGGCCCAGACUCCUACGGGAGGCAGCAGUAGGGAAUCUUCGGCAAUGGACGAAAGUCUGACCGAGCAACGCCGCGUGAGUGAAGAAGGUUUUCGGAUCGUAAAGCUCUGUUGUAAGAGAAGAACGGGUGUGAGAGUGGAAAGUUCACACUGUGACGGUAUCUUACCAGAAAGGGACGGCUAACUACGUGCCAGCAGCCGCGGUAAUACGUAGGUCCCGAGCGUUGUCCGGAUUUAUUGGGCGUAAAGCGAGCGCAGGCGGUUAGAUAAGUCUGAAGUUAAAGGCUGUGGCUUAACCAUAGUACGCUUUGGAAACUGUUUAACUUGAGUGCAGAAGGGGAGAGUG
rnacentral:rRNA from 1 species